AACGAACGCUGGCGGCAGGCCUAACACAUGCAAGUCGAGCGAGGACUUCGGUUCUAGCGGCGGACGGGUGAGUAACGCGUGGGAAUGUGCCCUUCUCUACGGAAUAGCCCUGGGAAACUGGGAGUAAUACCGUAUACGCCCUAUUGGGGAAAGAUUUAUCGGAGAAGGAUCAGCCCGCGUUGGAUUAGGUAGUUGGUGGGGUAAUGGCCUACCAAGCCGACGAUCCAUAGCUGGUUUGAGAGGAUGAUCCGCCACACUGGGACUGAGACACGGCCCAGACUCCUACGGGAGGCAGCAGUGGGGAAUCUUAGACAAUGGGGGCAACCCUGAUCUAGCCAUGCCGCGUGAGUGAUGAAGGCCUUAGGGUUGUAAAGCUCUUUCAGCUGGGAAGAUAAUGACGGUACCAGCAGAAGAAGCCCCGGCUAACUCCGUG
rnacentral:rRNA from 1 species